GAUGAAGAACGUAGCGAAAUGCGAUAACUAAUGUGAAUUGCAGAAUUCAGUGAAUCAUCGAAUCUUUGAACGCACAUUGCGCCCGCCAGUAUUCUGGCGAGCAUGCCUGUUCGAGCGUCAUUUCAACCAUCAAGCCCCCGGCUUGUGUUGGGGACCUGCGGCUGCCGCAGGCCCUGAAAUCCAGUGGCGGGCUCGCCGUAGCACCGAGCGUAGUAGCACACUUCUCGCUCCGGUAGCAGCGGCGGGCGCUUGCCGUAAAACCCCCCCCUAAAAUCUCAAGGUUGACCUCGGAUCAGGUAGGAAUACCCGCUGAACUUAAGCAUAUCAAUAAGCGGAGGA
rnacentral:misc_RNA from 1 species